rnacentral:rRNA from 1 species
CCUACGGUGGCAGCAGUGGGGAAUAUUGGACAAUGGGCGAAAGCCUGAUCCAGCAAUUCCGCGUGUGUGAAGAAGGCCUUCGGGUUGUAAAGCACUUUAGGUUGGGAAGAAAAAACUUCUCCUAAUACGAGAAGCGUUGACGGUACCAACAGAAUAAGCACCGGCUAACUCUGUGCCAGCAGCCGCGGUAAUACAGAGGGUGCAAGCGUUAGUCGGAUUUACUGGGCGGGAGGUGUGCGUAGUCGGAUGUGAAAGCCCCGGGCUCAACCUGGGAACUGCAUUCGAUACUGCGAGACUCGAGUUUGGUAGAGGGUGGCGGAAUUCCCGGUGUAGCGGUGAAAUGCGUAGAUAUCGGGAGGAACAUCAAUGGCGAAGGCAGCCACCUGGGCCUGAACUGACACUGAGGCACGAAAGCGUGGGUAGCAAACAGGAUUAGAUACCCUAGUAGUC